GCAUGUUGUGUCUCGUGCUGGGGACACAACGGCCGUUGUGCUCUUGGGUCUGAGUGCAUGUGAAGCUGUGCUUGCUGCAAUGUCAGGUCUCUGUGUGGGUGAGACCAGCUACAUCUCUCCUGGCUCCCAGGGUUGCACAGAAGAAGGCUCAGGCAGAGGGGCUCAGGGGCAGCUGAAUGCCUCCAACUCUGCCCAUGGCCAUGAAUUGCUGCUGUUGCUGAGUUCUCAAAGACCCCAGUCUCAUGAAAUACUGUAUAAACAACCUGAGAAAGGUCUUCCAAAACAUGCUGUACAUCCAACUAAAUAUUGAUAUGCCUUUCCAUUAAUAUGUACUUUCCAUCCGGAAACAUCAUCAUAUAAAUCAGUGUUUCAGCUGGCUGAAGUAAGUGUGUGCCUUGGGACGCAAUAUCCAAGCAGUCCUUCUCUGUGCAUUCCAGCCUUGAUUUAAUCCAGGUUUAUCUCAGCUUUGCCCUAGCUGAUUAGGAACAGGUUUAAGCUAAACUUGGCCAAGCUACUCUUAAACUGAAGUAGGUGUUCAUAGAAAGCAUCACAUUAAUUAGCCUGGAUGGGUGCAAACUCUAUGUACAGAAAUCUUAUUUAUGUUCUUCCCUGCCAUCUCUUUCUCUUCUUACUGAGCCUCUCGCUGCUCCCAUGUUAGUCUUUGUUCUGCUGACCCUAUGACUGUGGCAGAAUUAAUGCUAUUUGCAUCUCUAAAUUCAGAGAAAGCUACACAGCAGCCAAAAUGUUAAUCACUUUAAAGCAGUGAAGGCAUAAAUGUAACAGCCUGACACGGGGCAUGGCACAAGAAACAGAGGUAAUGAAGAGAAUCAGUAACAAACAGAUAAAAAAAAAAAAAAAAGACAUGAAACAGGACGGGGGUAUAAAGUCAGUCACACAGCAAAUGAAGUCUAAAUCUGAUAAACAGUGGAAACCAAAUGAACCACAUUUACACGUUCAUGCUUGGCCAAGGUAAUGGUGGAGUCCAAGUGAGCGGCUGCACUUUCCGCACAACUUUUUGCCAGCUGGAGCUCCAGGAGCUGCAGCGUAUGAGGGAGUGAUAACACACAGAUCUCAGCACAGCCGUGCCCAUGAGGAGGUUAAGCCUCAGCCAUAGAUACACCAAGAAGUGCUCACUGACCUGGGCAGUGAGUCCAUUAGGUGGAAGACUCAGUGGCUUCCUAUUGCAUCUCAUACAGCCAUAAACUCUUUCAUUGUUCUUCAUGGUGAGUUUAAUAGCUGUAAGAAGUGCUGGCCACACUUAUCACUCAACAUUUUUUGAGGGAACUGAAAAUUUUUGCUGGAAAUGCAGUUUUUCUAAAGAAAUAAAAACUUUUUUUUCACUUCUCUACCUCGCCUU
rnacentral:lncRNA from 1 species